AGAGUUUGAUUCUGGCUCAGAACGAACGCUGGCGGCGUGGAUAAGACAUGCAAGUCGAACGGGAGAAUUGCUAGCUUGCUAAUAAUUCUCUAGUGGCGCACGGGUGAGUAACACGUGAGUAACCUGCCCCCGAGAGCGGGAUAGCCCUGGGAAACUGGGAUUAAUACCGCAUAGUAUCGAAAGAUUAAAGCAGCAAUGCGCUUGGGGAUGGGCUCGCGGCCUAUUAGUUAGUUGGUGAGGUAACGGCUCACCAAGGCGAUGACGGGUAGCCGGUCUGAGAGGAUGUCCGGCCACACUGGAACUGAGACACGGUCCAGACACCUACGGGUGGCAGCAGUCGAGAAUCAUUCACAAUGGGGGAAACCCUGAUGGUGCGACGCCGCGUGGGGGAAUGAAGGUCUUCGGAUUGUAAACCCCUGUCAUGUGGGAGCAAAUUAAAAAGAUAGUACCACAAGAGGAAGAGACGGCUAACUCUGUGCCAGCAGCCGCGGUAAUACAGAGGUCUCAAGCGUUGUUCGGAAUCACUGGGCGUAAAGCGUGCGUAGGCUGUUUCGUAAGUCGUGUGUGAAAGGCGCGGGCUCAACCCGCGGACGGCACAUGAUACUGCGAGACUAGAGUAAUGGAGGGGGAACCGGAAUUCUCGGUGUAGCAGUGAAAUGCGUAGAUAUCGAGAGGAACACUCGUGGCGAAGGCGGGUUCCUGGACAUUAACUGACGCUGAGGCACGAAGGCCAGGGGAGCGAAAGGGAUUAGAUACCCCUGUAGUCCUGGCAGUAAACGGUGCACGCUUGGUGUGCGGGGAAUCGACCCCCUGCGUGCCGGAGCUAACGCGUUAAGCGUGCCGCCUGGGGAGUACGGUCGCAAGAUUAAAACUCAAAGAAAUUGACGGGGACCCGCACAAGCGGUGGAGUAUGUGGUUUAAUUCGAUGCAACGCGAAGAACCUUACCUGGGCUUGACAUGUAAUGAACAACAUGUGAAAGCAUGCGACUCUUCGGAGGCGUUACACAGGUGCUGCAUGGCCGUCGUCAGCUCGUGUCGUGAGAUGUUUGGUUAAGUCCAGCAACGAGCGCAACCCCUGUUGCCAGU
rnacentral:rRNA from 1 species